rnacentral:rRNA from 1 species
UACGUAGGGGGCUAGCGUUGUCCGGAAUCAUUGGGCGUAAAGAGCGCGUAGGCGGCCUGAUAAGUCCGGUGUGAAAGUCAAAGGCUCAACCUUUGAAUGCCGCUGGAAACUGUCUGGCUAGAGUCCGGGAGGGGCGAGUGGAAUUCCUGGUGUAGCGGUGAAAUGCGCAGAUAUCAGGAGGAACACCAAUGGCGAAGGCAGCUCGCUGGAACGGUACUGACGCUGAGGCACGAAAGCGUGGGGAGCAAACAGG